AUGAUACAUCUCUUUUUUUUUUUUGGGUCAAAUGAAAAAAACAUCUCAAUAUAUAUGAAUUUGUGUAUGUAUAAGCAUCAUCUUUCGUAUUCCAACCACACCCACUAUCGAGUUAACCAGCCAGACAAUGUUGGCAAUAGUAUGUUGCAUUUCGUUCUGCAUAAUGCAUUGGUAUCAUCAAAAGCAAAAAAUAUUGUUACCAUCCAUUGGUAUCUCUUAAAUGACUUACAAAAUUAUAAUUUUAAAAAAGUGAAUAGCAAAUGGUCCCUGGGCUAGCGGUCGGCCCACGGCUUGUCACCUUGGCACGCGAGGGUUAUGCUCUAACGUAGAGGACGAAACCUGUCGAUAUAUUGCUUAACGGCUAUGGUAUACUUUUGCUUCUUGGUCGCUUUU